UGGGGAAUUUUGGACAAUGGGGGAAACCCUGAUCCAGCCAUCCCGCGUGUGCGAUGAAGGCCUUCGGGUUGUAAAGCACUUUUGGCAGGAAAGAAACGUCGCGGGUUAAUACCCCGCGAAACUGACGGUACCUGCAGAAUAAGCACCGGCUAACUACGUGCCAGCAGCCGCGGUAAUACGUAGGGUGCAAGCGUUAAUCGGAAUUACUGGGCGUAAAGCGUGCGCAGGCGGUUCGGAAAGAAAGAUGUGAAAUCCCAGAGCUUAACUUUGGAACUGCAUUUUUAACUACCGGGCUAGAGUGUGUCAGAGGGAGGUGGAAUUCCGCGUGUAGCAGUGAAAUGCGUAGAUAUGCGGAGGAACACCGAUGGCGAAGGCAGCCUCCUGGGAUAACACUGACGCUCAUGCACGAAAGCGUGGGGAGCAAACAGGAUUAGAUACCCUGGUAGUCCACGCCCUAAACGAUGUCAACUAGCUGUUGGGGCCUUCGGGCCUUGGUAGCGCAGCUAACGCGUGAAGUUGACCGCCUGGGGAGUGCGGUCGCAAGAUUAAAACUUAAAGGAAUUG
rnacentral:rRNA from 1 species